GGACGGGUGAGUAACGCGUGGGUAACCUACCCCAAAGUCCGGGAUAACAGCGGGAAACCGCUGCUAAUACCGGAUGUCUUUACCUUGGGGCAUCUUGAGGUAAAGAAAGGUAACGCUUUGGGAUGGGCCCGCGUCCCAUUAGCUAGUUGGUGAGGUAACGGCUCACCAAGGCGACGAUGGGUAGCCGGCCUGAGAGGGUGGACGGCCACACUGGGACUGAGACACGGCCCAGACUCCUACGGGAGGCAGCAGUAGGGAAUAUUGCGCAAUGGACGGAAGUCUGACGCAGCGACGCCGCGUGAGCGAUGAAGGUCUUCGGAUCGUAAAGCUCUGUCCUUGGGGAAGAAGGUCUUCGGACUUGACGGUACCCAAGAAGAAAGCCCCGGCUAACUACGUGCCAGCAGCCGCGGUAAUACGUAGGGGGCGAGCGUUGUCCGGAAUUACUGGGCGUAAAG
rnacentral:rRNA from 1 species